rnacentral:lncRNA from 1 species
GGGCCUUUCCUCCAUAUUUCCUGAUAACCCCCUAUAGAAAUAGGCAAACACCAAAACUCUUGGAAUUCUGUCAGAUAAAACCCUAAGUCUGGGUGUUGAUUGCAUUUGAAUCCUUUUCCAUGAUUAGUUGAUGGUUAAAUGUGAGCAUUAAAGACUGUCAACAAGCUCCCCCAAGGUUAACCUUUGCUCGUCCCUGAGCAAGGAUGGACUCAAGAGUUUCUGCAGUGGUUUCAUGCCUUAAAGGUACACAUGCGUUCAAACAAGAUCUCAUCUCUGGGUUAAGGUAAACUGUUAAGAUUUAAACUUACUCAUUUUUCCUUCCACCAUGGGGCUUGCAACCGUCACUUGUGUCUUGAGUAGUUAAAAGAUAGAACGAUCUAGUCAAGCGCCAUGUCUCUUGUUCUUCGAUUAACUAUAGCUCUGGAGUGUUUGCAGAUUUUCAAAUAAAACUCAGAGAUUCCUUGUAUGACUCUCUCUAGUCUCUCUUUUGUGUUAUUUCUGUAUCCUUACCAAGGUAUAUGCCUUCUCUCAAAGUAUGUGGUAUUUUUGGUAUGAGGCAUAGUGAUAUUGCUUUCUCUCUCACCCUAUUCUAAUAAGGUUUUGAUAUCUGGAGCUCAUAGGUGGGAGACAUAUAAUACAUACUUACAAGACAUUUAUUGCAUAGUCAAACCAUGGAUCCAGAGAAACAAGUCAAUAAGUCAAAUCAAGAUGUGCAUGUGUGGCGAAUGAAAGGUUUAUGGUGAUAACAAUGGUGAAAGUCUGAUUCUACUUUUGCUCUUUUAAGGGGAUACAUACCUUUCUUGCACUUUGAAGCUUUUUGAGGAGAAUGAUAUGCUCUAUAUUUUAUUUUUCUUUUCUAUCAGGUGGGUAUCUUGUACCCCUAAUUCUAAUGUCGGACACUUGUCCAUUUUUACCUCUCGUCUCACUUUUUCUUUUUUUUUGAGGUUCCGGGCACUUGCCCCUUUUGAUUUCCUCGUAUCUUUUUCUCUUUUCGAGGUUCCGGGCACUUGCCCCUUUUUAUUUCCUCGUAUUCAUCAUUUUUUAGAGGACUCACCCUCCUGAAAUAAUGUAGCAAGCGGUAGUAACCAAAAUAACUGGAGCAUUUAUUUCACAGGGAAUAAUAGGGAUAUGAAAAUAUUUUUGGCUAUUCUCUAUUGGAUAGGAGUAGAAUAAUUUUAGGUGAAUUUGGAGAUGGAAGUGAGUGGAUGUAUGUGGAGGCGUACUUCCGGAGUAGAAGUAGCAUGUGUGACUGAACAUGCAAGUGGAUCUUGAUUUUAACCACAUGACAAGCUCCUAAGGGUCUACACAGCUUGACCACACUCAAUGCUCAUAAGCAGUAAAAAGUAAAUGUAUGGUUCUUAGUCUAAUAAGCAUGUAUAUAUAUAGCUGUGGUAGGAUUUUAAACUCUCAUCAUACAGGAACUCAUCAUGCAACAUUUUAAAGAUUUUCAAAGAUAAAAUUCUCCAGAAUUCUAACAUCUCUAGGAACAGAUAAACAUCAGGUCAACCUUCCCAUAUCAUAUCCGUGAACGACUUAGACUUUAGAUCAAGUACUCUUCCCACAAGUUCAGGUUUAAAGCAAAUCUUAAUUAAUAACAGUCAUGCCUAGACUUGAGAGAGAUUUCAAUUUUGAGAACUAGUCAUGGCAGAGCAAGUAGUCAUCAUUUCCAUGUGAGAGCUUAUCAUGAGGGUUCAUAGCAAACUUUAUUUAUUUAUUUAGCAAACUAAGCAAAGAUAUAUAUAUAAGCACAAAUCUUUAUUUGGGUUUUUAUGAUUAUGCAUCUUUUUAUUAUUUGAGUAAAGUAUAAACGUGAGUAGAACACUUAGCUGGAUAAAUGGGGGUGCUCUCCACCAAGCUGGAUUUUGACGUAAUUUCUUCUGAUGUAGCUAGCAGGUGAUGGAGGUGUAUUAGAAUGUUGGCAGCACCCUGACAGCGAUUACUAUGUCCUCCGCCGGCUAGUCUUCUUUGAUCCUUGAAUUUUGUGGAGCUCAAAUAGACAACAAAGCUUUGUGGAACUGGUUAAGUGUUAGCAUAAAAUCUCUUAGCCUUUAUCACAUUGAGAUUCCUCCUAAUAAAUUUUAUUAAUUUAGCAGGAUCAUGCACUUAUUAUUUUUAUAUUUUUAUUGUAAGACAAAAUCAUAUUUAUUUUGUGCCACCACAGUCAAUAUAGCUAUGGGUUUUAAACCACAAGUCUACUCACAUGGGGCUUU